UCUGGUGGCUCAGAGGGUAAAGCAUCUGCCUGAAAUGCAGGAGACCUGGGUUCAAUUCCUGGAUCUGGAA
rnacentral:tRNA from 1 species